rnacentral:lncRNA from 1 species
GCCCCACGUCCCUCCUGUACUGAGGACUCCCAUCCGGGCGCAGUGCUGCAGUUUACCAGAAGUGCAGCUUCAAAUUCACGUUUGUGAAGGGCCAAUGGAACUCACGUGCUUGCUGUGUCUUCAUGCCCUGCUGCCUGCACUCAGGCUGCCACCUGUUUCCUGCCAAAGCUGCUGGCUUUAUCAAUUUCAGAUGGAUUGCUACGUGCCACAGGAAAUACAGGCGCUAGAUCCCAUUCUCCAGAAACCUUCUCAGCCUACAUGAACUGCUAGUAAUAUACAGCAGAAGUACUGAAGUCCUCCAAAUAUGCGUAAGUUUUCCUCCCAUCAGGUUACAAAGACAUGGCAGGCUUGGUAGCAUGUGCCAUCUUAUCAUAAACGUCACUCUGACAGUAAUGCCUCCUAUUUCCUUCUGUAGAAACAACAACAGAUGCAGAGAGUACAAUAACACCGUUUGACAGAGCAAAUUCUCAGCUACAGAACACCAUUUUUCAGUGCCUCCACCACCAUUAGCUGUGCAUUUUCAUCAGUGAUGAACAAGAGCUGCAUGCCGUGCUCUAAAAAUCUGCACAGCUGUCCAGAAGGCAACUCAACUGUUGCAUUACUGUCAUCACUACUGAAAUGCACCACUCACCACAUCACUGUGCUCACAUCCACUGCUGGGUCUCCAGAAACAUUCCAAAGUGUUGAUGACUGUUAAUGGGCGCCAUUCUUUUCUGCAUGGAGGAAUUCAAUGACACGCCUUUGCUAUAUACGCACUUCUGUUUCAGACACCAUGUGUCAUACAGCAACAAUACAUGAUGGGAUAUCAGUGGGAAGGUUCAACUUCUACUGCCAUCCCACCAACACCCUCCUCUGGUGUUGUGGGCCAACAUUAGAAACCAGGAGGCAUUACUUUCGGAGCAGCCCUGUACAAACUCAGCUUUCUGUUCAGUCUUUCACCCGCUGCAAACUUUACUUUGUCUGUUGAUAUUGCACAUACAAAUGAUCACUGCAGAGACCACAGACAAGUUAUCUUAUGGUAUACAGAGUUCGAGACAGAGAGGACCAAACUUGCGAGACAUUCCCUGUUCCAUGCACAGCACAGGGCAGCCACAGGGAUGGAGAUCACCACUCUGCACCCAGGAAUCAAAGCACAGAAAAUCUCAGGGGAGGCUGCAAGAUUGUGCAAAGGUCAGUAAUGCAACAGAAGAGGAUCAAGAUGAGCACUUCUUG